rnacentral:rRNA from 1 species
GCCUUCGGGUACAAUUGAGACAGGUGGUGCAUGGUUGUCGCCAGCUCGUGUCGUGAGAUGUUGGGUUAAGUCCCGCAACGAGCGCAACCCUUGUGUUUAGUUGCAAACAGGUCAAGCUGUGCACUCUAGACAGACUGCCGUGGACAACACGGAGGAAGGUGGGGAUGACGUCAAAUCAUCAUGCCCCUUAUGAUCUGGGCUACACACGUGCUACAAUGGCCGGUACAACGGGCAGCGAAGGAGCGAUCCGGAGCGAAUCCUAAAAAGCCGGUCCAGUUCGGAUUGCAGGCUGAAACUCGCCUACAUGAAGUUGGAGUUGCUAGUAAUCGCGAAUCAGAAUGUCGCGGUGAAUGCGUUCCCGGGCCUU